rnacentral:rRNA from 1 species
UACGUAGGGUGCAAGCGUUGUCCGGAAUUAUUGGGCGUAAAGAGCUCGUAGGUGGCGGGUCACGUCGGGUGUGAAAGCCCGGGGCUUAACCCCGGGUCUGCAUUCGAUACGGGCUUGCUAGGGUCCGGCAGGGGAGACUGGAAUUCCUGGUGUAGCGGUGAAAUGCGUAGAGAUCCGGAAGAACACCGGUGGCGAAGGCGGCCUGCUGGGCAGUAGCUGACACUGAGGCGCGACAGCGUGGGGAGCAAACAGG